UACGUAGGGGGCAAGCGUUGUCCGGAAUCAUUGGGCGUAAAGAGCGUGUAGGCGGCUCGAUAAGUCUGCUGUGAAAGUCCAGGGCUCAACCCUGGAAAGCCGGCCGAUACUGUCGGACUAGAGUCCGGAAGAGGCAAGUGGAAUUCCCGGUGUAGCGGUGAAAUGCGCAGAUAUCGGGAGGAACACCAAUGGCGAAGGCAGCUUGCUGGGACGGUACUGACGCUGAGGCGCGAAAGCGUGGGGAGCAAACAGGAUAGAAACCCU
rnacentral:rRNA from 1 species